rnacentral:rRNA from 1 species
AUUGAACGCUGGCGGCAUGCUUUACACAUGCAAGUCGAACGGUAACAGGCCGCAAGGUGCUGACGAGUGGCGAACGGGUGAGUAAUGCAUCGGAACGUGCCCAGUCGUGGGGGAUAACGCAGCGAAAGCUGCGCUAAUACCGCAUACGAUCUAUGGAUGAAAGCGGGGGACCGUAAGGCCUCGCGCGAUUGGAGCGGCCGAUGUCAGAUUAGGUAGUUGGUGAGGUAAAGGCUCACCAAGCCGACGAUCUGUAGCUGGUCUGAGAGGACGACCAGCCACACUGGGACUGAGACACGGCCCAGACUCCUACGGGAGGCAGCAGUGGGGAAUUUUGGACAAUGGGCGCAAGCCUGAUCCAGCAAUGCCGCGUGCAGGAAGAAGGCCUCGGGUUGUAAACUGCUUUUUGUACGGAACGAAACGGCUCUGGUUAAUACCCGGGGCUAAUGACGGUACCGUAAGAAUAAGCACCGGCUAACUACGUGCCAGCAGCCGCGGUAAUACGUAGGGUGCGAGCGUUAAUCGGAAUUACUGGGCGUAAAGCGUGCGCAGGCGGUGCUGUAAGACAGGCGUGAAAUCCCCGGGCUUAACCUGGGAAUGGCGCUUGUGACUGCAGUGCUGGAGUGCGGCAGAGGGGGAUGGAAUUCCGCGUGUAGCAGUGAAAUGCGUAGAUAUGCGGAGGAACACCGUGGCGAAGGCAAUCCCCUGGGCCUGCACUNACGCUCAUGCACGAAAAGCGUGGGGGAGCAAAACAGGAUUAGAUACCCUGGUAG